GUGUCACGGGCCGAAGGAAGUCAGCUGUGGGGUAGAUUUGUACGAGAUCGCUGGACCCUAAGGAACCCAGAAAAUGCAAGCAAGGUUAUGUGUUACAAGACAUUCUUGUGCAGAGAGGGUGUAUAAAUGUCAUUAGUUUUGCAGGGUCUGUUAUCUUAAAACCUUUUCUUGUAGAUGAAGAAAUUUGAGGGGAUGGUGUGAUGAGCUGAAGAGCAAGCACCAGAUUGCCUGUGAUUGGAAGUACCAGGUCCACAGGUUUCU
rnacentral:lncRNA from 1 species